rnacentral:snRNA from 1 species
AUCGCUUCUCGGCCUUUUGGCUAAGAUCAAGUGUAGUAAUGAGAGUUCUAGAAAAUACACUUAGAUUGUUAAGUCUAACUUUCUUAGAAUUAACACAAUGAAAUGCACACAGACAUUAAACUUAUC